AGAGUUUGAUCCUGGCUCAGAACUAACGCUGGCGGNNNUCUUAAACAUGCAAGUCGAACGGAAAGGUCCUUCGGGAUACUCGAGUGGCGAACGGGUGAGUAACACGUAGGUAAUCUGCCCUCAGGGGGGGAUAACUCAGGGAAACUUGAGCUAAUACCGCAUACGCUGCGNAAAUNNAAAUAGCGCAGUGAAAGCAGCAAUGCACCAGAGGAUGAGCCUGCGGCCUAUUAGCUUGUUGGCGGGUAACGGCCCACCAAGGCGACGAUGGGUAGCCGGCCUGAGAGGGUGAUCGGCCACACUGGAACUGAGAUACGGUCCAGACUCCUACGGGAGGCAGC
rnacentral:rRNA from 1 species